AGUGAACGCUGGCGGUAGGCCUAACACAUGCAAGUCGAACGGCAGCACAGUAAGAGCUUGCUCUUACGGGUGGCGAGUGGCGGACGGGUGAGGAAUACAUCGGAAUCUACUUUUUCGUGGGGGAUAACGUAGGGAAACUUACGCUAAUACCGCAUACGACCUACGGGUGAAAGCAGGGGAUCUUCGGACCUUGCGCGAUUGAAUGAGCCGAUGUCGGAUUAGCUAGUUGGCGGGGUAAAGGCCCACCAAGGCGACGAUCCGUAGCUGGUCUGAGAGGAUGAUCAGCCACAUGGGAACGGAGACACGGUCCAGACUACUACGGGAGGCAGCAGUGGGGAAUAUUGGACAAUGGGCGCAAGCCUGAUCCAGCCAUACCGCGUGGGUGAAGAAGGCCUUCGGGUUGUAAAGCCCUUUUGUUGGGAAAGAAAAGCAGCAGGUUAAUACCACGCUGUUCUGACGGUACCCAAAGAAUAAGCACCGGCUAACUUCGUG
rnacentral:rRNA from 1 species